GACGUAGGGCGCGAGCGUUGUCCGGAAUUAUUGGGCGUAAAGAGCUCGUAGGCGGUUUGUCGCGUCUGCUGUGAAAUCUGGGGGCUCAACCCCCAGCCUGCAGUGGGUACGGGCAGACUAGAGUGCGGUAGGGGAGAUUGGAAUUCCUGGUGUAGCGGUGGAAUGCGCAGAUAUCAGGAGGAACACCAAUGGCGAAGGCAGAUCUCUGGGCCGUAACUGACGCUGAGGAGCGAAAGCAUGGGGAGCGAACAGG
rnacentral:rRNA from 1 species